rnacentral:rRNA from 1 species
UGGCGGACGGGUGAGUAACGCGUGAGCAACCUGCCCUUCGGAGGGGGAUAGUGUCUGGAAACGGACAGUAAUACCGCAUAACGUAUUGAUACCGCAUGAUAUUGAUACCAAAACUGAGGUGCCGAAGGAUGGGCUCGCGUUGGAUUAGAUAGUUGGUGGGGUAACGGCCUACCAAGUCGACGAUCCAUAGCCGGACUGAGAGGUUGAACGCCACAUUGGGACUGAGACACGGCCCAGACUCCUACGGGAGGCAGCAG